GGGAAUAUACCCUUCACUACGGAAUAGCCUCGGGAAACUGAGAGUAAUACCGUAUACGCCCUUCGGGGGAAAGAUUUAUCGGUGAAGGAUUAGCCCGCGUAAGAUUAGAUAGUUGGUGGGGUAAUGGCCUACCAAGUCUACGAUCUUUAGCUGGUUUUAGAGGAUGAUCAGCAACACUGGGACUGAGACACGGCCCAGACUCCUACGGGAGGCAGCAGUGGGGAAUCUUGGACAAUGGGCGCAAGCCUGAUCCAGCCAUGCCGCGUGUGUGAUGAAGGCCUUAGGGUCGUAAAGCACUUUCGCCAGAGAUGAUAAUGACAGUAUCUGGUAAAGAAACCCCGGCUAACUCCGUGCCAGCAGCCGCGGUAAUACGGAGGGGGUUAGCGUUGUUCGGAAUUACUGGGCGUAAAGCGCACGUAGGCGGAUUAGUCAGUCAGAGGUGAAAUCCCAGGGCUCAACCCUGGAACUGCCUUUGAUACUGCUAGUCUUGAGUUCGAGAGAGGUGAGUGGAAUUCCGAGUGUAGAGGUGAAAUUCGUAGAUAUUCGGAGGAACACCAGUGGCGAAGGCGGCUCACUGGCUCGAUACUGACGCUGAGGUGCGAAAGUGUGGGGAGCAAACAGGAUUAGAUACCCUGGUAGUCCACACCGUAAACGAUGAAUGCCAGUCGUCGGGCAGUAUACUGUUCGGUGACACACCUAACGGAUUAAGCAUCC
rnacentral:rRNA from 1 species